GACGAACGCUGGCGGCGUGCUUAACACAUGCAAGUCGAACGGAAAGGCCCCUUUGGGGGUACUCGAGUGGCGAACGGGUGAGUAACACGUGUGUAACCUUCCCUUGUCUUCGGGAUAACUUCAGGAAACUGGGGCUAAUACCGGCUAGGAAUCCUUGCUGCAUGGUGGGGGUUGGAAAGCUUCGGCGGUUUUGGAUGGGCUGGCGGCGUAUCGGCUUGUUGGUGGGGUAGUGGCUUACCAAGGCUUUGACGGGUAGCCGGUCUGAGAGGGGGACCGGCCACAUUGGGACUGAGAUACGGCCCAGACUCCUACGGGAGGAAGCAGGGGGGAAGAUUGAACAAUGGGCGGAAGCCGGAUGCAGAAACGCCGCGGGCGGGAUGACGGCCUUCGGGUUGUAAACCGCUUUCAGCAGGGGCGAAGCUUGUGGUGACGGUACCUGCAGAAGAAGCACCGGCUAACUACGUG
rnacentral:rRNA from 1 species